rnacentral:tRNA from 1 species
UGGCUCAGCGGUAAAGAGCACUGGCUGUUCUUCCAGAGGACCUGGGUUCAAUUCCCAG